UACAUGGGGUGCAACCGUUGCUCGGAAUUAUUGGGCGUAAAGCGCGCGUAGGUGGUUACCUAAGUCGGAUGUGAAAGCCCUCGGCUUAACUGAGGAAGUGCACCCGAAACUGGGUAGCUAGAGUACUAAAGAGGGUCGCGGAAUUCCCGGUGUAGAGGUGAAAUUCGUAGAUAUCGGGAGGAACACCGGUGGCGAAGGCGGCGACCUGGGUAGAUACUGACACUGAGGCGCGAAAGCGUGGGGAGCAAACAGG
rnacentral:rRNA from 1 species